GAGGAAGGCCGGUGGUGGGGAGAGGGAACCCGCGCAGACACCACACACACACACACGGCUUCAGCAAGCCCCCCGAAGGGGCUAAAGAUUUCAGAUUUGAUUGCAUUAAUGUGACAGCUCCUCCUAAAAAUUCCGACAUCAUCAUCAAGCUAUCAAGCAAAAUCAGAAGGGCACGGAGAUUCUUAUAACUCAUCAUCAUGGGUGGCGCAAUGACGCUUAUAACUCAAACAAGGAAUAUUAUUGAAGAGAAAAUUUCAUAAAUAAAGGAAUUAUCUCCAUGAAUCCAGGAUCUUAUUGUCCUCGAGUCUCUAGGAAUUGGCAUAAAUCUCCAGAUGACAACUGAAAGCAAUCCUGGAUAUGUUAAUGGCUUGCUGUUGGAACAUCCUCAGUCAGAGCUAGCAACACU